ensembl:miRNA
ACAGGUAGUGUCCCUAGGGGCUGUAGAACAGGGCUGGGAUUACUAAAGCCUGUUCUAUGCCCUGAGGGACACUGAGCAUGUCA